AUAUAUAGAUAAAAAUAAAACAAAC
rnacentral:sRNA from 1 species